CGAGGAGCGCGGCCGAGAAGACCGUGCAGCGGAGAAGCGGGGUGCCAAGAGCGCGGGCCGCCUGCGGAGCGACUGCCCCAGCCAGCCGGAUCCCGGUCUCAGCCCGAGCCCCACCGGAGCGGAGCCGGCCCGGUGCUCCAACUGUCCGCAGCCAUGCUGGCCGGCCGCGCCGCACGCACCUGUGCGCUGCUCGCCCUCUGCCUCCUGGGCAGUCGGGCCCAGGAUUUCGGGCCGACCCGCUUCAUCUGCACUUCGGUGCCGGUGGACGCCGACAUGUGUGCCGCGUCCGUGGCCGCGGGCGGCGCGGAGGAGCUUCGGAGCAAUGUGCUGCAGCUCCGGGAGACCGUGCUGCAGCAGAAGG
rnacentral:lncRNA from 1 species